rnacentral:rRNA from 1 species
UACGGAGGGUGCAAGCGUUAAUCGGAAUUACUGGGCGUAAAGCGCGCGUAGGUGGUUUUUUAAGUCGGAUGUGAAAGCCCCGGGCUCAACCUGGGAACUGCAUCCGAUACUGGAAGACUAGAAUGCGNGAGAGGGAGGUAGAAUUCCAUGUGUAGCAGUGAAAUGCGUAGAUAUAUGGAGGAAUACCAGUGGCGAAGGCGGCCUCCUGGCUCGACAUUGACGCUGAGGUGCGAAAGCGUGGGGAGCAAACGGC